GUCCUCGCUUUGGCAGCACAUAUGCUAAAAUUGUAAAGAUACAGAGAUUAGCAUGGCCCCUGCGUAAGGAUGACGCGCAAAUUCGUGAAGCAUAAAAAAACAAA